rnacentral:lncRNA from 1 species
CCCCACGCAGCCAGACCUUAAAGCUUCUUUGCAAAGCAAUUUCAGUCGAAGCAUUAACAAUCAUAUUUUACUUUUGACAGUCAUUUCUACUAUGCCGAGGCGUAUCUUAUGCCUCUCUGCCUUGAAGAAUUGGUGAAUGGUGUCAAAUGCAUUCAUUGUAGAGAUAGCCCACUUGGCAUGGCCUAGCAUUUACAGGUAAAUACAUUUAGGUCUGAACAUAAUCCUUGUAACGAGGACUACCUCAUGCCAGUAGAAAUUCAGAGUUAAACAUGUUCAUGGGGCGCAAGUUUUAGUUGGAUUUCAUUCCCCUCGCAUUUACUGAAGAUGAGUUUGCUGCUUGUAUGGUUAGAAGGACUGCUCACAGCCCAAGAGGUUUGUCACUGCCAGCCUGCUGGAAUUAAACCCUUUAAAGGUCUGUCAUGGACUCAGACUGCUCCCUAGGUAAUGCAGCAGUGCUGCUGCCUCCAAUUUUCUGCCUGUUCUGUGUGUAAAAUUAAAGACUUCAUUCUUCAGUCUGUCAAAAAUGGUUUUCAUCUAUCCUUAGGCUAGAAAAAUUGGUAGUCGAUGAAAAGCCAAAGAGUGAGAUGUUUACCCCUGACAGGGAAGCACACGCUGUAAGAAGUGAAUCUCAUUAAUGUUGUCUUUGUGGUCACAGCUGAAGCAGGAAGAUGUACUUGUUUAAGUGUGCCUCAUCUGCAUACCUUCAGCACACCUGUGCCUGCCCAGCCUCCCGUGGAGAUGCCCAGGGUGCCAGGUUAGUGGCACAGAGAUCACCGUGAUCUCAUUUACCCUGCAUAGCUUCCUGCAGGAUAGCUGCAGCCAAAGAUCCUGGAGGGCUACAACAGCUUACCCACCCGCUGACCCUGGACUUCUGGUGUACACAGCAUCAGUCAGAGAUCUCAAAGCACAUGAGAGGAAGCUUGAGUAUUCUCUUAAUGUUGAUGGAAAACCAAGGCAUGGAGCAAUUCAGUCACUGUUCAGCUUUACAAUGUCAAAGCAGGUC